rnacentral:lncRNA from 12 species
AGACAUAUGAUCACUCAAAGACAAUUCAAUAUUGGAAAUGAGGCGUGAUUACUUUACAUCCGGCAGAAAUUUAUAACACUAAAUUGAUAGUAACAUUUAACUAUAGGAAGAGAAUGUAAAUUUCGCUCAGAGUUCACACUAUGAGUAAUGAAUAAUCAACUGAGGAAUAAUUGCAGUCAUAAAACAUCAUUAUUCAUACACUUUACCUCUCAGGGCAUCUUUACACAAUACUGAAUAUGGAAAGAUUUGAGCAGAAAUGGAGAAAUGGUCAUUUCCCCUGGGCAUCCGAAAGGAUGUAAUAGUCCACACCGAAAAGACACAAGAUCAUAAAUGCUUGGUUAACAAAGUACAAGAGAUAUAAGGUACACAAAGAGCAUAUAUUUCCCUUAUUUCAGGAUGUUGACCUCAAAAGAAUAGAGCUGCAGUUUUUGGAGAGUUUAAACAUGAAGGCAUUUUCCACGUGUAAAAACACAGUAGUGUUCAAGGGAUAUCAUGAUGCCUACCUGUCUCUGCCCUCAGUCGGGUGCUCUGUGAUGAUUCUUAGACAAGUCCAAUGGAAGCAAAAAGACAGAUUGGGACAUGCUAAAGCCUUCCGUGGAAAGCAAUCUCAGUAGCAAUGCUGCUCGGCUGAGCCCACUCUUUCCAAGCCUCCAAUGUGCAUGUAAAGAUGACGGGGAAGUUUGUGAUUUAUUCCUCCCAUACAUAUCUAGGGUUUAUACAUAUGACCACAUUGGUGUGUACUGUACACCUGCCACACACAACCUGUG